rnacentral:rRNA from 1 species
GACGAAGGGGGCUAGCGUUGUUCGGAAUUACUGGGCGUAAAGCGCGUGUAGGCGGUUGCCCAAGUCGGGUGUGAAAGCCUUGAGCUCAACUCAAGAAAUGCACUCGGUACUGGGUGACUAGAGGACCGGAGAGGAUAGUGGAAUUCCCAGUGUAGUGGUGAAAUACGUAGAGAUUGGGAAGAACACCAGUGGCGACGGCGGCUAUCUGGACGGUUUCUGACGCUAAGACGCGAAAGCGUGGGGAGCAAACAGG